UUGAACUCGAGUUGGAAGAGGCGAGUCCGGUCUCAAAAUGGAGGGCCAUGAUCCAAAGGAACCAGAGCAGUUGAGAAAACUGUUUAUUGGUGGUCUGAGCUUUGAAACUACAGAUGAUAGCUUAAGAGAACAUUUUGAGAAAUGGGGCACACUCACAGAUUGUGUGGUAAUGAGAGACCCCCAAACAAAACGUUCUAGGGGCUUUGGUUUUGUGACUUACUCUUGUGUUGAAGAGGUGGAUGCAGCAAUGUGUGCUCGACCACACAAGGUUGAUGGGCGUGUUGUGGAACCAAAGAGAGCUGUUUCUAGAGAGGAUUCUGUAAAGCCUGGUGCCCAUCUAACAGUGAAGAAAAUUUUUGUUGGUGGUAUUAAAGAAGAUACAGAAGAAUAUAAUUUGAGAGACUACUUUGAAAAGUAUGGAAAGAUUGAAACCAUAGAAGUUAUGGAAGACAGGCAGAGUGGAAAAAAGAGAGGAUUUGCUUUUGUAACUUUCGAUGAUCAUGAUACUGUUGAUAAAAUUGUUGUUCAGAAAUGCCACACUAUUAAUGGGCAUAAUUGUGAAGUGAAAAAGGCCCUUUCAAAACAAGAGAUACAGUCUGCUGGAUCGCAAAGAGGUCGGGGAGGUGGAUCUGGCAACUUUAUGGGUCGUGGAGGAAACUUUGGAGGUGGUGGAGGUAAUUUUGGCCGUGGUGGAAACUUUGGUGGAAGAGGAGGCUAUGGUGGUGGAGGUGGUGGCAGCAGAGGUAGUUAUGGAGGAGGUGAUGGUGGAUACAAUGGAUUUGGAGGUGAUGUGGCAACUAUGGCGGUGGUCCUGGUUAUACUAGUAGAGGGGGCUAUGGUGGUGGACCAGGAUAUGGAAACCAAGGUGGUGGAUAUGGCGGUGGUGGAGGAGGAUAUGAUGGUUACAAUGAAGGAGGAAAUUUUGGAGGUGGUAACUAUGGUGGUGGUGGGAACUAUAAUGAUUUUGGAAAUUAUAGUGGACAACAGCAAUCAAAUUAUGGACACAUGAAAGGGGGCAGUUUUGGUGGAAGAAGCUCGGGCAGUCCAUAUGGUGGUGGUUAUGGAUCUGGUGGUGGAAGUGGUGGAUAUGGUAGCAGAAGGUUCUAAAAACAGCAGAAAAGGGCUACAGUUCUUAGCAGGAGAGAGAGCGAGGAGUUGUCAGGAAAGCUGCAGGUUACUUUGAGACAGUCGUCCCAAAUGCAUUAGAGGAACUGUAAAAAUCUGCCACAGAAGGAACGAUGAUCCAUAGUCAGAAAAGUUACUGCAGCUUAAACAGGAAACCCUUCUUGUUCAGGACUGUCAUAGCCACAGUUUGCAAAAAGUGCAGCUAUUGAUUAAUGCAAUGUAGUGUCAAUUAGAUGUACAUUCCUGAGGUCUUUUAUCUGU